rnacentral:rRNA from 1 species
UACGUAGGGGGCAAGCGUUGUCCGGAAUCAUUGGGCGUAAAGAGCGUGUAGGCGGCCCGGUAAGUCCGCUGUAAAAGUCAAAGGCUCAACCUUUGAAUGUCAGUGGAUACUGCCGGGCUAGAGUCCGGAAGAGGCGAGUGGAACUCCUGGUGUAGCGGUGAAAUGCGUAGAUAUGCGGAGGAACACCGAUGGCGAAGGCAAUCCCCUGGACCUGUACUGACGCUCAUGCACGAAAGCGUGGGGAGCAAACAGG